rnacentral:rRNA from 1 species
GACGAACGCUGGCGGCGUGCUUAACACAUGCAAGUCGAACGGAAAGGCCCUGCUUUUGUGGGUUGCUCGAUUGGCGAACGGGUGAGUAACACGUGAGUAACCUGCCCUUGACUUUGGGAUAACUUCAGGAAACUGGGGCUAAUACCGCAUAGGAGCUCCUGCUGCAUGGUGGUGGUUGGAAAGUUUCGGCGGUUGGGGAUGGACUCGCGGCUUAUCAGCUUGUUGGUGGGGUAGUUGCUUACCAAGGCUUUGACGGGUAGCCGGCCUGAGAGGGUGACCGGCCACAUUGGGACUGAGAUACGGCCCAGACUCCUACGGGAGGCAGCAGUGGGGAAUAUUGCACAAUGGGCGGAAGCCUGAUGCAGCAACGCCGCGUGCGGGAUGACGGCCUUCGGGUUGUAAACCGCUUUCGCCUGUGACGAAGCGUGAGUGACGGUAAUGGGUAAAGAAGCACCGGCUAACUACGUG